rnacentral:ncRNA from 2 species
CUACGCAGGUCAUGCUUCGGUCCGGGAUGUCACAGACCUGGAUAAUAGGGAACGCGGUUCGGCACAUCAUCGCCAAAUCCGCGACUGCCCCCGCAACUGUAGGCGGUGAGCGAAGCCGGACUUACGUCACUGCCGCACAUUCGCGGUGGGAAGACCCGGCCAAGCGUUGACCCGCAAGUCAGGAGACCUGCCGAAGUGUUCACCCUGUC